rnacentral:rRNA from 1 species
UUACUUCGGUUUGAAGUCUUUUAUGACUGAGUGGCGGACGGGUGAGUAACGCGUGGGUAACCUGCCUCAUACAGGGGGAUAGCAGCUGGAAACGGCUGGUAAUACCGCAUAAGCGCACAGUACCACAUGGUACAGUGUGAAAAACUCCGGUGGUAUAAGAUGGACCCGCGUCUGAUUAGCUAGUUGGUGAGAUAACAGCCCACCAAGGCGACGAUCAGUAGCCGACCUGAGAGGGUGACCGGCCACAUUGGGACUGAGACACGGCCCAAACUCC